rnacentral:rRNA from 1 species
UACGAAGGGGGCUAGCGUUGCUCGGAAUCACUGGGCGUAAAGCGCACGUAGGCGGUUUGCUAAGUCAGGGGUGAAAUCCUGGAGCUCAACUCCAGAACUGCCCUUGAUACUGGCGGUCUCGAGUCCGGGAGAGGUGAGUGGAACUGCGAGUGUAGAGGUGAAAUUCGUAGAUAUUCGCAAGAACACCAGUGGCGAAGGCAGCUCGCUGGGACGGUACUGACGCUGAGACGCGAAAGCGUGGGGAGCAAACAGG